rnacentral:lncRNA from 1 species
CUGACGCGCAGUGCCAGACCUUACCCCUCACGGUCCUUAAGUCUCGGUCGCCCUCGCCUCGCAGCCUGCCACCCGCGCUCAGCUGCCCGCCUCCUCAGCCAGCCAUGCUGGAGCAUCUGAGCUCGCUGCCCACGCAGAUGGAUUACAAGGGCCAGAAGCUAGCUGAACAGAUGUUUCAGGGAAUUAUUCUUUUUUCUGCAUUGGAUUUAUCUACGGGUACGUGGCUGAACAGUUCGGGUGGACUGUCUAUAUAGUUAUGGCCGGAUUUGCUUUUUCAUGUUUGCUGACACUUCCUCCAUGGCCCAUCUAUCGCCGGCAUCCUCUCAAGUGGUUACCUGUUCAAGAAUCAAGCACAGACGACAAGAAACCAGGGGAAAGAAAAAUUAAGAGGCAUGCUAAAAAUAAUUGAGGUUUUCAUGAUUCAGCACCUGCUUUUGUUUCUGUGAGAUGAGCUAAAUUGCUUUCAUACCCCAGAUAAGAGCUAAAACCACCUAAUGCUCUUAUGGCACAGCUGUGUAUAGAUUUAGUUCUCUUUAUACUUCAUUUCUAGCCCAGUUGGGUUUUGAUUUAUAUAAGUAGUUUAGACCUUCUCUUCAUAAUCUUGCUCUGAGAUGGGGAACAGAACACACAAGUAUGAAGUUUCUUUCAGGUGUAAAUAAUGAAAAAUAAAUGCCUCAUAAAUGAUAGUACAAUGUAACUAUCAAAGUUUUAUAAUUCAUUAUGAGUUAACCAUUUUAAUGUUUCCAAUUAAACCUCAUAGUGC